UACGAAGGGGGCUAGCGUUACUCGGAUUGACUGGGCGUAAAGGGCGCGUAGGCGGCUUGUACAGUCAGACGUGAAAUUCCUGGGCUCAACCUGGGGGCUGCGUUUGAUACGUGCGGGCUUGAGUUCGGAAGAGGGUCGUGGAAUUCCCAGUGUAGAGGUGAAAUUCGUAGAUAUUGGGAAGAACACCGGUGGCGAAGGCGGCGACCUGGUCCGAUACUGACGCUGAGACGCGAAAGCGUGGGGAGCAAACAGG
rnacentral:rRNA from 1 species